rnacentral:rRNA from 1 species
AGUCGAGCGGUAGAGAGAAGCUUGCUUCUCUUGAGAGCGGCGGACGGGUGAGUAAUGCCUAGGAAUCUGCCUGGUAGUGGGGGAUAACGUUCGGAAACGGACGCUAAUACCGCAUACGUCCUACGGGAGAAAGCAGGGGACCUUCGGGCCUUGCGCUAUCAGAUGAGCCUAGGUCGGAUUAGCUAGUUGGUGGGGUAAUGGCUCACCAAGGCGACGAUCCGUAACUGGUCUGAGAGGAUGAUCAGUCACACUGGAACUGAGACACGGUCCAGACUCCUACGGGAGGCAGCAGUGGGGAAUAUUGGACAAUGGGCGAAAGCCUGAUCCAGCCAUGCCGCGUGUGUGAAGAAGGUCUUCGGAUUGUAAAGCACUUUAAGUUGGGAGGAAGGGCAGUUACCUAAUACGUAAUUGUUUUGACGUUACCGACAGAAUAAGCACCGGCUAACUCUGUGCCAGCAGCCGCGGUAAUACAGAGGGUGCAAGCGUUAAUCGGAAUUACUGGGCGUAAAGCGCGCGUAGGUGGUUUGUUAAGUUGGAUGUGAAAUCCCCGGGCUCAACCUGGGAACUGCAUUCAAAACUGACUGACUAGAGUAUGGUAGAGGGUGGUGGAAUUUCCUGUGUAGCGGUGAAAUGCGUAGAUAUAGGAAGGAACACCAGUGGCGAAGGCGACCACCUGGACUAAUACUGACACUGAGGUGCGAAAGCGUGG